GGUUAAGUGACUAAGCGUACACGGUGGAUGCCUUGGCAGUCAGAGGCGAUGAAAGACGUAGUAACUUGCGAUAAGCCCAGAUUAGGUAGUAACAACCAUUUGAGUCUGGGAUUUCUGAAUGGGGAAACCCACGUGCAUAAGCACGUAUCCUUACCUGAAUACAUAGGGUAAGGAGGCGAACCGGGGGAACUGAAACAUCUAAGUACCCCGAGGAAAAGAAAUCAACCGAGAUUCCGAAAGUAGCGGCGAGCGAAAUUGGACUAGCCCUUAAGCUUUACACGCGUUAGACGAACGGUCUGGAAAGUCCGACGAUACAGGGUGAUAGUCCCGUAGUUGACGACGUGUGUUCAGUGAAAUCGAGUAGGGCGGGACACGUGAUAUCCUGUCUGAAUAUGGGGGGACCAUCCUCCAAGGCUAAAUACUACUGACUGACCGAUAGUGAACCAGUACCGUGAGG
rnacentral:rRNA from 1 species